UGGGGAAUAUUGGACAAUGGGCGCAAGCCUGAUCCAGCCAUGCCGCGUGAGUGACGAAGGCCUUAGGGUUGUAAAGCUCUUUUGGCGGGGACGAUAAUGACGGUACCCGCAGAAUAAGCCCCGGCUAACUUCGUGCCAGCAGCCGCGGUAAUACGAAGGGGGCUAGCGUUGUUCGGAAUUACUGGGCGUAAAGCGCACGUAGGCGGACUUUCAAGUCAGGGGUGAAAUCCCGGGGCUCAACCUCGGAACUGCCUCUGAUACUGUUGGUCUUGAAUCCGGUAGAGGUGGGUGGAAUUCCUAGUGUAGAGGUGAAAUUCGCAGAUAUUAGGAAGAACACCGGUGGCGAAGGCGGCUCACUGGUCCGGUACUGACACUGAGGUGCGAAAGCGUGGGGAGCAAACAGGAUUAGAUACCCAAGUAGUCCCUGAGCGGGCUGGCAAGGCGC
rnacentral:rRNA from 1 species